GUUAGUUGGAGCCUUGGAGGUCUUUGAAGUUGGAAAUUGUCUGAUUUUCAGCAUUGCUGAUAUGUGAAAACUUUGGAAUUGGUUAUUUUAUUGAGCUAUUUAUGGUGUUUGACAAGUAUUUCUACAGAGUUUAUUCUCUGACAUUUUCUCUCUUUCCUGUUUUCCCGAUUUGGUGAUAAGUAUAGGUACUUAUUCUCUGACGUUUUCCCCCUUUCCUGUUUUGGUUAAAAAUAAUAUACAAGCAUACUGAACUGAAAAAUGGAAAAUAGAUAGCUUCAUCAGGGCUUCAGAGAUGAGAUUGGCUAAUGCUUCCAUAGUGAGAAGAAUUAGUUGGCUGGUUAAUCAUUAGUGGUAAACUUCACAUUUAUAGAUGAUUAAGAGCAAAGUUGAAGAGGUGCCACUGUUUGGGGCAGUGGCAAAAAUUUUUGGUGUGCGAGUCCAAGGACACAUUUUUAGUAUUUCAGCCAUCUUAUGAUAAAAAUACUGGAAGGUAGUGGCUCCAGGUCUACCCUGAGUAUUUUCUUUUGUUAGGAUGGUAACAUGGUAAUAGCCUUUAAACUCAUUGCUGGAGAUUGCAUGAUCUCCUUACUGGCCUUGCAAUUUCUCAUCAUGUUGGAUGAAUUGCUCUCUUGUGCUCUGAUGUGUAUAUGUUAUUUGUUUACUGUUGGAUUCGGAUUUAUUGAUUUAUGUAAGGAAACUCUAAGUAAUAAAACUA
rnacentral:misc_RNA from 1 species